CUUAAGUAAAAGUAGAAAAGUGUUCUCAUCUAAAUAUAGUGAAAGACAGUAAAAGUAGUCAUUGUGCAGAUUGGUCCAUUUCAGAAUAAUAGAUAUGAUAUGUUUUAUA